rnacentral:rRNA from 1 species
GAACGGCCACAUUGGGACUGAGACACGGCCCAGACUCCUACGGGAGGCAGCAGUGGGGAAUAUUGCACAAUGGGGGAAACCCUGAUGCAGCGACGCCGCGUGAAGGGAAGAAGUAUUUCGGUAUGUAAAGCUCUAUCAGCAGGAAGAAAAUGACGGUACCUGACUAGGAAGCACCGGCUAAAUACGUGCCAGCAGCCGCGGU